UGGGGAAUAUUGCACAAUGGGGGAAACCCGUGAUGCAGCGACGCCGCGUGAGUGAAGAAGCGCCUCGGCGCGUAAAGCUCUGUCAGCAGGAACGAUAAUGACGGUACCUGAAGAAGAAGCCCCGGCUAACUACGUGCC
rnacentral:rRNA from 1 species